UAAUACGAAGGGACCUAGCGUAGUUCGGAAUUACUGGGCUUAAAGAGCACGUAGGUGGUUAAAAAAGUUGGUGGUGAAAUCCCAGAGCUCAACUCUGGAACUGCCAUCAAAACUUUUUAGCUAGAGUAAGAUAGAGGAAAGCAGAAUUUCUAGUGUAGAGGUGAAAUUCGUAGAUAUUAGAAAGAAUACCAAUUGCGAAGGCAGCUUUCUGGAUCUUUACUGACACUGAGGUGCGAAAGCAUGGGUAGCGAAGAGGAUUAGAUACCCUCGUAGUCCAUGCCGUAAACGAUGUGUGCUAGACGUUGGAAAUUUAUUUUCAGUGUCGCAGCAAAAGCGUUAAGCACACCGCCUGGGGAGUACGACCGCAAGGUUA
rnacentral:rRNA from 1 species